rnacentral:tRNA from 1 species
GCCGGUGUGGUGGAAUUGGCAGACGCGCUGGACUCAAAAUCCAGUGGAGUAAAAUCCGUGUCGGUUCGACCCCGACCACCGGCACCA